rnacentral:rRNA from 1 species
GGUUAAGCGACUAAGCGUACACGGUGGAUGCCCUGGCAGUCAGAGGCGAUGAAGGACGUGCUAAUCUGCGAAAAGCGCCGGCGAGGUGAUAUGAACCUUUGACCCGGCGAUGUCCGAAUGGGGAAACCCAGUGUGUUCCGACACACUAUCGUUAACUGAAUACAUAGGUUAACGAGGCGAACCGGGGGAACUGAAACAUCUAAGUACCCCGAGGAAAAGAAAUCAACCGAGAUUCCCCCAGUAGCGGCGAGCGAACGGGGAGCAGCCCAGAGUCUGAAUCAGCUUGUGUGUUAGUGGAAGCGUCUGGAAAGUCGCACGGUACAGGGUGACAGUCCCGUACACGAAAACGCACAGGUUGUGAACUCGAAGAGUAGGGCGGGACACGUGGUAUCCUGUCUGAAUAUGGGGGGACCAUCCUCCAAGGCUAAAUACUCCUGACUGACCGAUAGUGAACCAGUACCGUGAGGGAAAGGCGAAAAGAACCCCGGCGAGGGGAGUGAAAAAGAACCUGAAACCGUGUACGUACAAGCAGUGGGAGCACCUUCGUGGUGUGACUGCGUACCUUUUGUAUAAUGGGUCAGCGACUUAUAUUCUGUAGCAAGGUUAACCGUAUAGGGGAGCCGAAGGGAAACCGAGUCUUAACUGGGCGUUAAGUUGCAGGGUAUAGACCCGAAACCCGGUGAUCUAGCCAUGGGCAGGUUGAAGGUUGGGUAACACUAACUGGAGGACCGAACCGACUAAUGUUGAAAAAUUAGCGGAUGACUUGUGGCUGGGGGUGAAAGGCCAAUCAAACCGGGAGAUAGCUGGUUCUCCCCGAAAGCUAUUUAGGUAGCGCCUCGUGAACUCAUCUUCGGGGGUAGAGCACUGUUUCGGCUAGGGGGCCAUCCCGGCUUACCAACCCGAUGCAAACUACGAAUACCGAAGAAUGUUAUCACGGGAGACACACGGCGGGUGCUAACGUCCGUCGUGAAGAGGGAAACAACCCAGACCGCCAGCUAAGGUCCCAAAGUCAUGGUUAAGUGGGAAACGAUGUGGGAAGGCACAGACAGCCAGGAUGUUGGCUUAGAAGCAGCCAUCAUUUAAAGAAAGCGUAAUAGCUCACUGGUCGAGUCGGCCUGCGCGGAAGAUGUAACGGGGCUAAACCAUGCACCGAAGCUGCGGCAGCGACACUAUGUGUUGUUGGGUAGGGGAGCGUUCUGUAAGCCGUUGAAGGUGGCCUGUGAGGGUUGCUGGAGGUAUCAGAAGUGCGAAUGCUGACAUAAGUAACGAUAAAGCGGGUGAAAAGCCCGCUCGCCGGAAGACCAAGGGUUCCUGUCCAACGUUAAUCGGGGCAGGGUGAGUCGACCCCUAAGGCGAGGCCGAAAGGCGUAGUCGAUGGGAAACAGGUUAAUAUUCCUGUACUUGGUGUUACUGCGAAGGGGGGACGGAGAAGGCUAUGUUAGCCGGGCGACGGUUGUCCCGGUUUAAGCAUGUAGGCGGAACGAUUAGGUAAAUCCGGUCGUUUUUUAACGCUGAGGUGUGAUGACGAGGCACUACGGUGCUGAAGUAACAAAUGCCCUGCUUCCAGGAAAAGCCUCUAAGCAUCAGGUAACAUCAAAUCGUACCCCAAACCGACACAGGUGGUCAGGUAGAGAAUACCAAGGCGCUUGAGAGAACUCGGGUGAAGGAACUAGGCAAAAUGGUGCCGUAACUUCGGGAGAAGGCACGCUGAUAUGUAGGUGAAGCCCCUGCGGGUGGAGCUGAAAUCAGUCGAAGAUACCAGCUGGCUGCAACUGUUUAUUAAAAACACAGCACUGUGCAAACACGAAAGUGGACGUAUACGGUGUGACGCCUGCCCGGUGCCGGAAGGUUAAUUGAUGGGGUUAGCGGUAACGCGAAGCUCUUGAUCGAAGCCCCGGUAAACGGCGGCCGUAACUAUAACGGUCCUAAGGUAGCGAAAUUCCUUGUCGGGUAAGUUCCGACCUGCACGAAUGGCGUAAUGAUGGCCAGGCUGUCUCCACCCGAGACUCAGUGAAAUUGAACUCGCUGUGAAGAUGCAGUGUACCCGCGGCAAGACGGAAAGACCCCGUGAACCUUUACUAUAGCUUGACACUGAACACUGGUCCUUGAUGUGUAGGAUAGGUGGGAGGCUUUGAAGUGUGGACGCCAGUCUGCAUGGAGCCGUCCUUGAAAUACCACCCUUUAAUGGCUGGUGUUCUAACGUAGACCCGUAAUCCGGGUUGCGGACAGUGUCUGGUGGGUAGUUUGACUGGGGCGGUCUCCUCCCAAAGAGUAACGGAGGAGCACGAAGGUUAGCUAAUCCUGGUCGGACAUCAGGAGGUUAGUGCAAUGGCAUAAGCUAGCUUGACUGCGAGAGUGACGGCUCGAGCAGGUGCGAAAGCAGGUCAUAGUGAUCCGGUGGUUCUGAAUGGAAGGGCCAUCGCUCAACGGAUAAAAGGUACUCCGGGGAUAACAGGCUGAUACCGCCCAAGAGUUCAUAUCGACGGCGGUGUUUGGCACCUCGAUGUCGGCUCAUCACAUCCUGGGGCUGAAGUAGGUCCCAAGGGUAUGGCUGUUCGCCAUUUAAAGUGGUACGCGAGCUGGGUUUAGAACGUCGUGAGACAGUUCGGUCCCUAUCUGCCGUGGGCGCUGGAGAAUUGAGGGGGGCUGCUCCUAGUACGAGAGGACCGGAGUGGACGCAUCACUGGUGUUCGGGUUGUCAUGCCAAUGGCACUGCCCGGUAGCUAAAUGCGGAAAAGAUAAGUGCUGAAAGCAUCUAAGCACGAAACUUGCCCCGAGAUGAGUUCUCCCUGAGACUUUAAGUCUCCUGAAGGAACGUUGAAGACGACGACGUUGAUAGGUCGGGUGUGUAAGCGCAGCGAUGCGUUGAGCUAACCGAUACUAAUGAACCGUGAGGCUUAACCUU